GCACAACCACGCUCCUCCUUGCUGCGCCGCGCGCGGCCGCGUGGCUACCAUAUGACGUCAUAACAGCUGCAAAACGGACGCUUAAGCUUCGCCUUCAAGAGUGGAACGCGACAGCGUUCCCGUCGACCCGCCAAGGGGUGUAAGACAAUGGGCUACGGCGCAGCAACUACGCGCCCCGCAUCGGACGCGGUGAGCGUCGAGCAACGCAGCGUUCGGCGCGACAACGAAAUGUGCGCCUGAGCAAGCGACGCACGCCUGAGCCGACGCCGACGACACCGGCUUUUCUGCGACACGAGCUCCUUAACGCUAUCGCGUUAAAAUAAA
rnacentral:lncRNA from 1 species